rnacentral:misc_RNA from 1 species
GAAAAUCCCAAGUCGCAUUAUAUUAUUACAUCUUGGUUGUUCCAGGUUUUGCGAACUGUUGCAGGCAAAACCAGGGAGAGAGAAAGAGACUGGGUGAGUUUUGUUUUUAACAGCUCGUGGAAAGAGAGUUUAAAGAGAGUGAAAAAGAGAGGCUGUUUUGUCAGGUUUUGUCUUUAGGUGGGUUCAACCUUGUGAUAUCCUUGCCUCGUUGUCUCUGUGUAGUUGGCCAUUAACUUGUCCUUUAGAGUUUUGAUGGACUCACCGAGGUACCUCAUUUGCUUUUUCUCUUCAUUCUUAAAAACAUUUCCUUCGCCAAAAAGUACGGUUUUUUUCCUCCAUUAAUAUUGUGCUCGUCACCUAUUCAUCUUUUCUCCUUCUUCACUCUUCCUCUUAUCUACAGAAACACUGUAGCUAAGGAUAGAAACAAGGAAUGAAUAGUCCUGCAAGCCUUGAGCCAGAUUCUGAUGACUUUGUUGAGGUUGAUCCUACUGGGAGAUAUGGAAGAUACAAUGAAAUUCUUGGCAAAGGAGCUUCAAAGACAGUUUAUAAAGCCUUUGAUGAGUAUGAAGGAAUUGAGGUGGCAUGGAAUCAGGUGAAGCUCUAUGAUUUCCUCCAACGUCCUGAAGAUCUUGAGAGGCUUUACUGUGAAAUUCACCUACUCAAGACCUUGAAACAUGAGAAUAUCAUGAAAUUCUACACUUCUUGGGUUGAUGCAGCUAACAGGAACAUCAACUUUGUCACUGAGAUGUUCACCUCUGGUACUCUCAGACAGUAUAGGCUAAAACACAAAAGAGUAAAUAUUACGGCUGUGAAACAUUGGUGUAGGCAGAUAUUGAAGGGGCUUCACUAUCUCCAUAGCCAUAACCCCCCGGUAAUCCACAGAGAUCUCAAGUGUGACAACAUUUUUGUUAAUGGCAACCAAGGAGAAGUCAAGAUUGGUGAUCUUGGCCUAGCUGCAAUCCUUAAGAAAUCCUAUGCUGCUCGUUGCGUUGGAACGCCAGAGUUCAUGGCUCCGGAGGUGUAUAAAGAGGAAUACAAUGAAUUAGUUGACAUAUAUUCAUUUGGGAUGUGUGUGUUGGAGAUGGUUACCUUCGAAUAUCCAUAUAGUGAAUGCAACCACCCUGCUCAGAUAUACAAGAAAGUUAUAUCUGUACGAAUUAAAAACCCUUAUCUUUAUGUUUUCAUGUUGAGUUUUUUCUUCAGAAACCCUUUUCACAAAAUUGCAUUUUUGAUAUAGGGGAAAAAACCAGAUGCUCUAUACAAAGUAAAGGAUCCAGAGGUGCGACAAUUUGUUGAAAAAUGUCUAGCAACCGCGUCAAGUAGACUCUCUGCCAGAGAACUUUUGGAGGACCCUUUUCUCCAAAUUGAUGAUUAUGGAUAUGAUUUGACGUCAUUAGAUUACCAGGGUGAUUGUAAUGAAAUAGGUGCUCUAGUAAGACAACCUUUCUAUGGAAUUAAUCACACUAGCAACUCUUUGACUAAUGGUUAUGCCCAUUAUCUUUGUUAUGGUCCUGAGAAUGAAAUAGAGUACCAUAAAGUUGAAUAUGAACCAACUGAAAUUGAUCUCCUUUUUUGUCAAGAAGAUGAACAUUUUGAAAAUGUUGACAUUACAAUCAAAGGUAGGAGGAGAGAGGAUGAUGGCAUCUUCUUGAGGCUCAGAAUUGCAGAUGAAGAAGGUUGCAUUCGAAACAUCUACUUCCCAUUUGAUAUUGAGACUGACACUGCUCUGAGCGUUGCAGCUGAGAUGAUUUCUGAGCUUGAUAUCACUGAUCAAGAUGUGUUGAAGAUAGCAGAUAUGAUCGAUGGUGAAAUUGCAAGCUUGGUACCUGAAUGGAGAAGAGGACAGGAGAAAGAGGAAAGUCUACAGUGUGCAAAUGCAACUUUCUGUCAAAAUUGUGCUUCAUACGGUUACCUGUUGGAUUAUUUGUCGUCAAAUAGUCCAGGAGCCAAGAACUUGCAAGUUCUUCAAUGUUCUAAACAUGGAAGUGCUAAUCUACAUGGCCGAUUUGAGGAGAUCACAUACCAAAUUGAAGGGCCAGAAAAAUGUCCCAGCACUGACUGUGCACCAUUUGGAUCAAGCCAAUCCAAUGGCAUAAGUUAUACGGACAUCUGGGCUCAGCGAGAUGCCCCAGAGUUAAGUUCACAAGGAUUAAGAGAGAUUCAUUGUGAUGAUGAGGGAAAUGAUGCAGUGGACCAAUCAAUCUUUGAAAAGGAAGAGAGAAUCAUAAAUAUGGAGAGUUUUUCUGAAUCCAACACAACAAAUUGUGUCUCUUCAAGCGUUUCGGCAGCUUGUGCUCACUGGGAUGAUUAUGAGAAUGAAAUUAGGCAAGAACUGAGAUGGCUUAAAGCAAAAUAUCAGAUGCAGUUAAGGGAGCUUAGAGACCAACAAUUGAGAGUCAAAUCAAAACCAUCAAGCCCAGAUCCUAAUUCAGAUAACAAAGAUCACAAUAUGGACAAUGGAGUUCAUUUGCCUUCAAUUUUGACUAAAGUAAAGAGAGAGGAAUAUAAACCUUCCCUGAAAUCUCUCCCCUCUGGGAAGCAUCUCAAUUCAACUUUCCUUACGGAUGCGGAGAAGAGAUGUGCCAACUUAGAAUACCAAGUAGUCCAAAAUUUCGAGGCAAUCAACAGGGGAUACAGCCCUGAGCAAAUGGUAACUGCUAAGAGUUUCUACACUGGAGAUUUACUUCCAUAUCCUCUUCACAGGGCAACCUCCCUUCCAGUUGAUGCUCUUGAUGUUUAAUAACUGCACAGUUUUCUACCCACUUCACCAAGUGUCAUUAAUAGCUAGGAUGCUUCUCUCUUUUGAUAAGGAAAAAAAAGAGGCGAUGAAAAAUUGAAAUUAGCUGUACAAGCAGAGAUGUGGUUUUUACAGCUUUCACAGUCUCUCUCCACAUAGGAUGUGUUCACUUGGGUAAACAUCGAAUGUACAUUACAAAUUAACAUCCAAAUGAACAAGUUUCCUCAAAUUCUGUCUCACAUCUCCUAAAAUGAGAGAGUUUCCUCCUAUGUUCCCAUUAUCUCCAUUGGAUACUCUGAACUUCUAUGAAUAAUUACUCCCGGUUGGCCAGUUGAAUGCUCUUGGACAGGAAAAUAUCAGUAGCAUGAUCGCGUCAGUCUUCGUAUUCUGGUUGUAUUCUCUCUUUUACCCUGGAAAGGCUGAAAAAAAAAAAGAAAAAGCCUUCACGAGUUCUAUAGCUGGGACCAUUAGAUCAUCAACAAAAAGUUACCACUCUCUCUACAGAUGGCCAGUUUUGCAUCUUCCAACCCCUCUAUUUCUCUACCAACUUUCACAAAGUAAACUUUGAAAGUACUGGUAAUUCAAGGAAAAUUAGAGGGUAUUUUGAAUAUGAAAAGUAGAAUGGUCCCAAGUCCUUCAUUGCUUUCUGUGACUCAAUAUCCCAAACCUAACAGCCCUGCCUACCAUGUGAUGAGUUCUGCAUAUUCAAAUUGACAACUUGAGCUAGAUAUUUCACGGGUAUGUGGCUGAUGCAAGAUAUGGCACUAUACCCAUAGGAUCGAUGUACGCCUACAAUGUCCGGUAACUGUGGGCCACUAAGGAGGAAUCCAUCAAAAAGCAUGAAAUGCCAAAAAAAUUUUACCUUCCAAAUGGGGGCGAACGAAGAGUGACACUGUUGGCUGAUAAUUACAAUUGUGAUCAAAUCUAAACUAAUCCCAACUUGCGAUAAACCCAACUAAUAAUGAUGAUAUUGUACAUGUACUAUGAAUGAUUAAUUAAUGGAAAGAAGAAGGGUUGGUUGAAUAGAAGAAAUGGG